CCUACGGGAGGCAGCAGUAGGGAAUAUUCCACAAUGAGCGAAAGCCUGAUGGAGCAACAUAGCGUGCACGAUGAAGGUCUUCGGAUUGUUAAGUGCUGUUUUAAGGGAAGCACAUUUGUCAUCGGAUAUGAUUGCAGACUGACGGUACCUUGUCAGAAAGCGAUGGCUAACUAUGUGCCACCAGCUGAGGUAAUACAUAGGUCGCAAGCGUUAUCUGGAAUUAUUGUGCGUAAAGGGUUCGUAGGCUGUCUGUUAAGUCUGGAGUUAAAUCCCGGGGCGCAACCCCGGCUCGCUUUGGAUACUGGCAAACUAGAGUGAGAUAGAGGUAAGCGGAAUGCGAGGUGAAGCGGUGAAAUGCAUAGAUAUAAGGAAGAACACCGAAGGCGAAGGCAGCUUACUGGGUCUAAACUGACGCUGAGGGACGAAAGCGUGGGGAGCAAACAGGAUUAGAUACCCUUGUAGUC
rnacentral:rRNA from 1 species